GAUGAACGCUAGCUACAGGCUUAACACAUGCAAGUCGAGGGGUAACGAGAGGGAAGCUUGCUUUCCUUGUCGACGACCGGCGCACGGGUGAGUAACGCGUAUCCAACCUGCCCCCAACUAGGGAAUAACCUUGCGAAAGUAAGACUAAUACCCUAUAAUUUCCUCAGAUGUCAUCUGACGAGGAAUAAAGAUUUAUCGGUUGUGGAUGGGGAUGCGUCUGAUUAGCUUGUUGGCGGGGUAACGGCCCACCAAGGCAACGAUCAGUAGGGGUUCUGAGAGGAAGGUCCCCCACAUUGGAACUGAGACACGGUCCAAACUCCUACGGGAGGCAGCAGUGAGGAAUGUUGGUCAAUGGGCGGAGGCCUGAACCAGCCAAGUAGCGUGCAGGAUGACGGCCCUAUGGGUUGUAAACUGCUUUUAUACAGGAAUAAAGUUAGCCACGUGUGGUUAUUUGUAGGUACUGUAUGAAUAAGGACCGGCUAAUUCCGUGCCAGCCGCCGCAGUAA
rnacentral:rRNA from 1 species